rnacentral:rRNA from 1 species
UGGGGAAUCUUGGACAAUGGGGGCAACCCUGAUCCAGCGACGCCGCGUGGGUGAAGGAGGCCUUAGGGUUGUAAACCCCUUUCGCCGGGGAAGAUGAUGACGGUACCCGGAGAAGAAGCACCGGCUAACUCCGUGCCAGCAGCCGCGGUAAGACGGAGGGUGCUAGCGUUGUUCGGAAUCACUGGGCGUAAAGGGCGCGUAGGCGGCUUGGACAGUCAGAUGUGAAAGCCCGGGGCUCAACCCCGGAACGGCAUUUGAUACUGCCAGGCUGGAGUUCGAGAGAGGUGAGUGGAAUUCCAAGUGUAGAGGUGAAAUUCGUAGAUAUUUGGAGGAACACCAGUGGCGAAGGCGGCUCACUGGCUCGAUACUGACGCUGAGGUGCGAAAGUGUGGGGAGCAAACAGGAUUAGAUACCCCCGUAGUCC